rnacentral:rRNA from 1 species
GACGAACGCUGGCGGCGUGCUUAACACAUGCAAGUCGAACGGAAAGGCCCUGCUUUUGUGGGGUGCUCGAGUGGCGAACGGGUGAGUAACACGUGAGUAACCUGUCCUUGACUUUGGGAUAACUUCAUGCAACUUGGGCUAAUACCGGAUAGGAGCUCCUGCUGCAUGGUGGGGGUUGGAAAGUUUCGGCGGUUGGGGAUGGACUCGCGGCUUAUCAGCUUGUUGGUGGGGUAGUGGCUUACCAAGGCUUUGACGGGUAGCCGGCCUGAGAGGGUGACCGGCUACAUUGCGACUGAGAUACGGCACAGACUACUACGGGACGCAGCAGAGGGGAAUAUUGCACAAUGGGCGGAAGCCUGAUGCAGCAACGCCGCGUGCGGGAUGACGGCCUUCGGGUUGUAAAGCGCUUUCGCCUGUGCCGAAGCGUGAGUGACGGUAAUGGGUAAAGAAGCACCGGCUAACUACGUG